rnacentral:lncRNA from 1 species
GUUCAAUAAAUGUUUAUCUUGUUUGGCCCGGGACCUAAAGUGUGCCUUCAGGUUUGGCCCCCUGUGCAUUUGAGUUUGACACCCCUGACUUACAAUGAUUUGGACUCCCUUGUCUCAUCCUUUAAUAAUCAGUGUAAUUCUAUUUUAGACAUAGUGGCACCUCUGAAAAAAAGUACUGUCCUAUGUUUGAAAUCUCAUCCUUGGAUAAAUGAAAACAUUCGUAAUUUCAGGAGAUAUUGUCGCAAGCUAGAAUGUUUGUGGAAGGCUUCCAAGCUUGAGGUUUAUAGGUUACACCUUAAAGAAUCUAUCCUCUUACUAAAUGACAUGUGGAAAAAUGCCAGAACAGUGUAUUUUUCACACUUCAUAGCUUCAAAAAAGAAAGACCCUAAAUUCUUGUUUAAAACAAUUAAGAGCAUUGUUUCUCCUGAUGCUCCUUGUGCACCAGUUCACUCAACGUCUGAAUGCAAUGAGUUUAUGAACUAUUUCACAAAUAAGGUCAUUGCCAUCAGGUCUAAUAUCUCUCCAUCAUCUUCUCAAUAUCAAACUUUCAACUUGCUCUCCUCUGAUACUUGGUCCUCUUUUACUCCUGUUACAUUACAAGACAUCAGAGUCCUGCUUUGUCAUAUAAAACAGACUUCAAGCCCCCUUGAUGUCCUUCCAUCUUCACUUUUCACUAGUGUGUUUGAUUCCAUUGGCCCCUGUAUUGUGGAAAUGAUAAAUACUUCUCUUCAUACCGGCUCAGUUUCCAGCUUCUUUAUACAAGCUGUUGUUGAGCCAAUAUUAAAGAAACAUUACCUAGAUCCAUCUCUUCCUAACAGUUAUAGGCCAAUAUCCAAAUUGCCUUUUAUAUCGAAGAUUUUAGAAAAAAAAGUAGUAGUAGAACAACUUAACUAUUUCCUGGAUAAAAAUGCUUUUAUGGACACUUUCCAGUCUGGUUUUCGUAAAUUGCAUUCCACUGAAACGGCCUUACUUAGAGUAUCUAGUGAUAUCUUGAUGGCAGCAGACUCUGGAGAGUACACAGUGCUGGUCCUGUUAGAUCUCAGCUCUGCUUUUGAUACUGUAGAUCAGCGGUCCCCAAUCUUUUUUGCCUCACGGACCGGUUUAUGCCCGACAAUAUUUUCACGGACCGGCCUUUAAGGUGUCGCGGAUAAAUACAACAAAAUAAAACUAGUACUGGUACCGAAAAAAACAAGAUUUAUUCAUAACACA